GCCGGGCAUGGUGGCACAUGCCUGUAAUCCCAUCAGCUCAGGAGGCUGAGGCAGGAGGAUUGUGAGUUCAAAGCCAGCCUCAG
rnacentral:sRNA from 1 species